GCGGGAAUAGCUCAGUUGGUAGAGCACGACCUUGCCAAGGUCGGGGUCGCGAGUUCGAGCCUCGUUUCCCGCUCCAUUU
rnacentral:tRNA from 1 species